AAAACCAAUGCAAGCAAGGUAACUAACUAAAGGAAAAUUUAAAUCAAAAGAGAAUGAAAUAAGCAAAGGGAUAAAAGUAACAAUAAAAAACUAAAUAUAUACAUAAAUAAAUGUGCCAUGUCCGCACAGACACACCUAAACAUUUACAUAAAGGACAUACAGUUCUUAUUUUAAGGAGUACUCAUUUCAUAUUGAGAUAACACGGUCCUCAUUUGUGAAACGUUUGUAUAUUUAUAUUUGAUUUUAGCUUGUGUGUAUGCACAAAUUAAAAACUGUUAGGCCUGCUGCUCCUAGGUAGCUUCUUUGUCUCUCCUCUCUCCCUCCCUUUGUCUGUCCUAAUUGCAGGAGUGGAGUCUGGUAUGCGGGAGUCAGGGUUCCAGCUGCCUCUCAUCUACCACAAUCAACCUCUGGUUCAUAUAGCCGGUCAUUCCUCCACUCUGCGUCAGAUCAUAGCCAAGAUGAUCACAAGAACCACCACUGGACCCCCCUAUUAGCCGGCCUACUGUAUUACUCUGACGGACCCACUCCUGCCCGGAAACCACCGGACCUGUUCUCCACCCUGGAAACCUGGACUUGCUUUUGAUACUUAAGUACUUUGAAUAAACCUGUUAAUUCACA